UACGUAGGGGGCGAGCGUUGUCCGGAUUUAUUGGGCGUAAAGAGCUCGUAGGCGGUUUGGUAAGUCGGGUGUGAAAUCUCCACGCUCAACGUGGAGGGGCCACUCGAUACUGCCAUGACUCGAGUCCGGUAGAGGAGUGUGGAAUUCCCGGUGUAGCGGUGAAAUGCGCAGAUAUCAGGAAGAACACCAAUGGCGAAAGCAGCUCUCUGGGACGGUACUGACGCUGAGGAGCGAAAGCGUGGGGAGCGAACAGG
rnacentral:rRNA from 1 species